GACGGAAGGUGCAAGCGUUGCUCGGAAUCACUGGGCGUAAAGGGUGCGUAGGCGGCCGUGCAAGUCUGGCGUGAAAGCCCCGGGCUCAGCCCGGGAAGUGCGCUCGAAACUGCACGGCUCGAGUGCCGGAGGGGAGAGUGGAAUUCCUGGUGUAGCGGUGAAAUGCGUAGAUAUCAGGAGGAAUACCGGCGGCGAAGGCGGCAUCCUGGACCAACACUGACACUGAGGAGCGAAAGCCAGGGGAGCAAACGGG
rnacentral:rRNA from 1 species